UGGCUCAGUUGGUAGAGCAUGUGACUCUCGAUCUCGGGGUCAUGAGUUCAAGCCUCAU
rnacentral:tRNA from 1 species